rnacentral:rRNA from 1 species
AUUGAACGCUGGCGGCAGGCCUAACACAUGCAAGUCGAGCGAGCGGCGGACGGGUGAGUAAUGUCUGGGAAACUGCCUGAUGGAGGGGGAUAACUACUGGAAACGGUAGCUAAUACCGCAUACCAUCAGAUGUGCCCAGAUGGGAUUAGCGAGUAGGUGGGGUAACGGCUAACCUAGGCGACGAGCCCUAGCUGGUCUGAGAGGAUGCCCAGACACACUGGAACGGAGACACGGGCCAGACUCCUACGGGAGGAAGCAGUGGGGAAUAUUGCACAAUGGGCGCAAGCCUGAUACAGCCAUGCCGCGUGUGUGAAGAAGGCCUUAGGGUUGUAAAGCACUUUCAGCGGGGAGGCGUUACCCGCAGAAGAAGCACCGGCUAACUCCGUGCCAGCCGCCGCGGUAAUUC